rnacentral:rRNA from 1 species
UGGGGAAUAUUGGACAAUGGGGGCAACCCUGAUCCAGCAAUGCCGCGUGUGUGAAGAAGGCCUUCGGGUUGUAAAGCACUUUUAUCGGGAACGAAACAUUGUCGGCCAAUACCCGGCAAGACUGACGGUACCCGAGGAAUAAGCACCGGCUAACUCCGUGCCAGCAGCCGCGGUAAUACGGAGGGUGCAAGCGUUAAUCGGAAUUACUGGGCGUAAAGCGUGCGCAGGCGGUUUGUUAAGUCUGCUGUGAAAUCCCCGAGCUCAACUUGGGAAUUGCAGUGGAUACUGGCAAGCUGGAGUACGGUAGAGGAAGGUGGAAUUCCCGGUGUAGCAGUGAAAUGCGUAGAGAUCAGGAGGAACACCAGUGGCGAAGGCGGCCUUCUGGACCAGUACUGACGCUCAUGCACGAAAGCGUGGGGAGCAAACA